rnacentral:rRNA from 1 species
AUCUACGGUCAUGCUACCCUGAACAAGCCCAAUCCCACCUGAUCUCGAAAGGUAAGCAGGGUCAGGCCUGGUUAGUACUUGCAUGGGAGACCACCUAGGAAGACCGGGUGCUGUAGGCA